rnacentral:rRNA from 1 species
AGAGUUUGAUCAUGGCUCAGAUUGAACGCUGGCGGCAGGCCUAACACAUGCAAGUCGAACGGUAACAGGAAACAGCUUGCUGUUUCGCUGACGAGUGGCGGACGGGUGAGUAAUGUCUGGGAAACUGCCUGAUGGGGGGGGAUAACUACUGGAAACGGUAGCUAAUACCGCAUAACGUCGCAAGACCAAAGAGGGGGACCUUCGGGCCUCUUGCCAUCGGAUGUGCCCAGAUGGGAUUAGCUUGUUGGUGGGGUAACGGCUCACCAAGGCGACGAUCCCUAGCUGGUCUGAGAGGAUGACCAGCCACACUGGAACUGAGACACGGUCCAGACUCCUACGGGAGGCAGCAGUGGGGAAUAUUGCACAAUGGGCGCAAGCCUGAUGCAGCCAUGCCGCGUGUAUGAAGAAGGCCUUCGGGUUGUAAAGUACUUUCAGCGGGGAGGAAGGGAGUAAAGUUAAUACCUUUGCUCAUUGACGUUACCCGCAGAAGAAGCACCGGCUAACUCCGUGCCAGCAGCCGCGGUAAUACGGAGGGUGCAAGCGUUAAUCGGAAUUACUGGGCGUAAAGCGCACGCAGGCGGUUUGUUAAGUCAGAUGUGAAAUCCCCGGGCUCAACCUGGGAACUGCAUCUGAUACUGGCAAGCUUGAGUCUCGUAGAGGGGGGUAGAAUUCCAGGUGUAGCGGUGAAAUGCGUAGAGAUCUGGAGGAAUACCGGUGGCGAAGGCGGCCCCCUGGACGAAGACUGACGCUCAGGUGCGAAAGCGUGGGGAGCAAACAGGAUUAGAUACCCUGGUAGUCCACGCCGUAAACGAUGUCGACUUGGAGGUUGUGCCCUUGAGGCGUGGCUUCCGGAGCUAACGCGUUAAGUCGACCGCCUGGGGAGUACGGCCGCAAGGUUAAAACUCAAAUGAAUUGACGGGGGCCCGCACAAGCGGUGGAGCAUGUGGUUUAAUUCGAUGCAACGCGAAGAACCUUACCUGGUCUUGACAUCCACAGAACUUUCCAGAGAUGGAAAUGUGCCUUCGGGAACCGUGAGACAGGUGCUGCAUGGCUGUCGUCAGCUCGUGUUGUGAAAUGUUGGGUUAAGUCCCGCAACGAGCGCAACCCUUAUCCUUUGUUGCCAGCGGUCCGGCCGGGAACUCAAAGGAGACUGCCAGUGAUAAACUGGAGGAAGGUGGGGAUGACGUCAAGUCAUCAUGGCCCUUACGACCAGGGCUACACACGUGCUACAAUGGCGCAUACAAAGAGAAGCGACCUCGCGAGAGCAAGCGGACCUCAUAAAGUGCGUCGUAGUCCGGAUUGGAGUCUGCAACUCGACUCCAUGAAGUCGGAAUCGCUAGUAAUCGUGGAUCAGAAUGCCACGGUGAAUACGUUCCCGGGCCUUGUACACACCGCCCGUCACACCAUGGGAGUGGGUUGCAAAAGAAGUAGGUAGCUUAACCUUCGGGAGGGCGCUUACCACUUUGUGAUUCAUGACUGGGGUGAAGUCGUAACAAGGUAACCGUAGGGGAACCUGCGGUUGGAUCACCU